rnacentral:rRNA from 1 species
GACGAACGCUGGCGGCGUGCUUAAAACAUGCAAGUCGAACGGACUUCUCAUGAAGCUUGCGAUGAGAAGUUAGUGGCGGACGGGUGAGUAACGCGUGGGCAACCUGCCCCUGGGCCCGGGAUAACAGUUCGAAAGGACUGCUAAGACCGGAUAUACUUGCGGGGAAGCAUUUCUCUGUAAGGAAAGGGAACGCUCAGGGAUGGGCCCGCGUCCCAUUAGCUAGUUGGUGAGGUAACGGCCCACCAAGGCGACGAUGGGUAGCCGGCCUGAGAGGGUGAACGGCCACACUGGGACUGAGACACGGCCCAGACUCCUACGGGAGGCAGCAGUUGGGAAUCUUCGGCAAUGGGCGCAAGCCUGACCGAGCAACGCCGCGUGAGUGAUGAAGGUUUUCGGAUUGUAAAGCUCUGUCUUCCGGGACGAUAAUGACGGUACCGGAGGAGGAAGCCACGGCUAACUACGUG